GCCGGAAUAGCUCAGUAGGUAGAGCACCGCAUUCGUAACGCGUAGGUCGGGGGUUCGAUUCCUCUUUCCGGCA
rnacentral:tRNA from 1 species